rnacentral:lncRNA from 12 species
UGUAACACUUUAAAACUGCACAAAUUUAUGUGCAGAUGGCAAAAUGGAAAUUUUGUUAGCACUUUCUGAAGAAAGAGUUAAGGAAGAACAAUCUACAUUGUUAAUUUUGGUAUUUAAAUAACAAAAUUCCAAGGAAAGAGCAUUUGCACUGGGAAUAUAAAGAAAAUAAUAAAAGGCCUAUUAUAGAUCUAAAGUCA